rnacentral:misc_RNA from 1 species
UACGGAGGAUCCAAGCGUUAUCCGGAAUCAUUGGGUUUAAAGGGUCCGUAGGCGGGUGCGUAAGUCAGUGGUGAAAGUCUGCAGCUCAACUGUAGGACUGCCAUUGAUACUGUUGGUCUUGAGUACAGUUGCGGUAGGCGGAAUGUGUAAUGUAGCGGUGAAAUGCUUAGAUAUUACACAGAACACCGAUUGCGUAGGCAGCUUACUAAACUGUAACUGACGCUGAGGCACGAAAGCGUGGGGAGCGAACAGG